rnacentral:rRNA from 1 species
AACGAACGCUGGCGGCAGGCUUAACACAUGCAAGUCGAGCGCCCCGCAAGGGGAGCGGCAGACGGGUGAGUAACGCGUGGGAACGUACCCUUUGCUACGGAAUAGCUCCGGGAAACUGGACUUAAUACCGUAUGUGCCCUGCGGGGGAAAGAUUUAUCGGCAAAGGAUCGGCCCGCGUUGGAUUAGCUAGUUGGUGGGGUAAUGGCCUACCAAGGCGACGAUCCAUAGCUGGUCUGAGAGGAUGAUCAGCCACAUUGGGUCUGAGACACGGCCCAAACUCCUACGGGGGGCAGCAGUGGGGAAUAUUGGACAAUGGGCGCAAGCCUGAUCCAGCCAUGCCGCGUGAGUGAUGAAGGCCUUAGGGUUGUAAAGCUCUUUCACCGGAGAAGAUAAUGACGGUAUCCGGAGAAGAAGCCCCGGCUAACUUCGUGCCAGCCGCCGCCGUAACAC